AAGGGGUCUCCUCUAAUGCCUGGCAUUGUGUCACAAAAUGCCUGGCCUCGCUUGUAGACCAGAUCAACCUCCAAAUCUCUUAUUAUCCUUGUGCUAGUGACCACUUUACUGUCCUAUGCACAUGAGAAACGUAAAAGAACAUUG